AUGGCUGUGUCGCGGGGGCUGCGGCGCUGCCAGCGGGCGUUCGCCUGGCUGCCCGUCCUCAUCAUCGCCCUCGUCGUGCUCUGGUCCUACUACGCCUACGUGUUCGAGCUGUGCCUGGUGACUCUGAGCAACCCUGUGGAAAAAGUGGCCUAUCUUAUAAUAUUCCAUAUUCUCUUUGUGCUCUUUGUGUGGACGUAUUGGAAGUCUAUUUUUACCCUCCCAGAGCAGCCAGGCAAAAAGUACCAUAUGUCCCUUGCUGACCAAGAGCGUUAUGAGAACGAAGACAGACCAGAGGUGCAGAGGCAAAUCCUCGCCGAAAUCGCAAGGAAGCUGCCGGUGUACACAAGGACGGGGAGCGGAGGUAUUCGAUUCUGUGACAGGUGCCAGCUCAUAAAACCCGAUCGUUGUCACCAUUGCUCCGUUUGUGCUAUAUGUGUGCUAAAAAUGGAUCAUCACUGUCCGUGGGUGAAUAACUGCGUUGGAUUUUCUAACUACAAAUUCUUUCUGCUCUUCUUAGCGUAUUCUUUGUUAUAUUGCCUGUAUAUCGCUGCAACAGUCUUCAAGUAUUUCAUUAAGUAUUGGACCGGUGAACUGACUAAUGGACGGUCCAAGUUUCAUGUCCUUUUCCUUCUCUUCAUCGCCGUCAUGUUCUUUGUAAGCCUUCUCUUUCUGUUCGGCUACCAUUGUUGGCUCGUUAGUAGAAACAGAUCUACUUUAGAGGCUUUCUCAGCUCCCGUGUUUCAAAACGGCCCAGAUAAAAAUGGAUUCAAUCUUGGCUUUGUAAAGAACCUUCUGCAAGUGUUUGGAGAAGAAAAAAAGCUGUGGUUACUACCUAUUGCCUCUAGCCAGGGCGAUGGACACUUUUUCCCCAUGAGAGCUCUGUGUGAAGCUCAGAAUCCUCUCCUGGCAAAUGAGGAGCAGUGGGAAGACGAUGGAAUAGACGAAGAGCCUCAUGGUAAGAUUCUGGUGAAGCUUCAUCCCUUGCCAUAGAAAAGGAGACGUAGCAGCUUGAAAAUGCAGCAGUAUAAAGCUUGUGCAGAAAGCUUCCCUCUCAGGAGCCAACAUCCCUUCUCUUGGCAUGGACUUCGGUUUUGAGGGGCAGAAAACAAGUGGAUCUUCAAGAUGAGAAAACAUCAUGAAGCAUCGUCUGAUUGGAAUCUGCAUUCUAGAGUGCUUCUCCAGAAAUCCUGCUACCCAGAUGUUUCAAGGCUUUAUAAGUUUAAGUUACAGAGUGAACAGAACAGUUUUAUAGAGUGAUUCCGGCCAAUGUUCUUUGGCCUGCUCUCUUUAUUUUAUAAAUAAUAUAUAUUUUUUAUUCAAAAUAGGUAAAGAGUAUUGAUGUGAGGGCAUUUCCAAAGGCCUUUUCAUUUUGCAAACAUCAGGGACUCAAGUUCUUGAAAUUCUUCCAAGCCAUAAUAUUCUUGGGGAUGGUAUUUAUUUUGAGACUGAUUCUCCAGCCUUCUCUGACAAGUGGCAUUUUCUAACAUGUUUGAAGUUCUGUCUGAGUCAGUUCAACUGAUGAGAGACAGACCCACUUAAAUUUGGCACUAAAUUGAUAGUUGGAUGUAAGUGUGUUGAAAGAGAAAGCGCUGAACAUGCAUAAAUGCAUGUGCAGCUGUGUAUGAAAAUAGAAUAUUCACACUGCCAGUAUCAAGAUUCAAGAAUAUUGUGGCCAUAGGUUUUUUUGCAUUUUUUCUAGGAGGGUGUAAAUUGUCUUAUAAUGCCCUUUAAGGCCAAUGCUGCUUGCAGGCACCUCAAAUGCAAACGGGAACUUAGGACUGUGCAGUUUGCAUUAAUUCCUAGGGCUAAAAUAUCAACUCGUUCCUGGAUCGGUGUUUGAUGGAAAUGUGUGUGUUUAUGGAGUCGGAAAGGAAGACGUAAAUUCAAAACACAUGAGUUGGAAACGUGCACUGAAGAUUUAGCUCCAACAGUGGUGUUUGGAGUUUACGCUCCACGAAUCACAGAAUCCCAGAAUGUCAGGGGUUGGAAGGGACCUGGAAAGCUCAUCCAGUGCAAUCCCCCCAUGGAGCAGGAACACCCAGAUGAGGUUACACAGGAAGGUGUCCAGGCGGGUUGGAAUGUCUGCACAGAAGGAGACUCCACAACCUCCCUGGGCAGCCUGGGCCAGGCUCUGCCACCCUCACCAGGAACAAGUUUCCUCUCAGAUUUACGUGGAACCUCCUGUGUUCCAGUUUGCACCCAUUGCCCCUUGUCCUGUCACUGGUUGUCACCCAGAAGAGCCUGGCUCCAUCCUCCUGACACUCAGCCUUUCUGUAUUUAUAACCCUUAAUGAGGUACAAAGAUGGAUUUACUCCCAUAAUGCUGAAGAAACAACUGAUUUAUUUAAGUUUUUUCUGAUUUUUUCAUAAGUAAAUGUAUUGAAUGGUGAUUCAGAGGUUUUUCAGCACUAAGAGGUGAUGAGAUUUUUUUCUUCGUUUUGCUCCAUUUGCAGGCAAAGGAAUGUACCACUGUUUUUAUUCUGUGAAAUGGAACUGAGAAUUUGCUGGCAGGAUUAUAUGCAUUUUUCUAGACCUGAGUCUUUUUUUAUCUGCAUGAUUCAGACCUGGCAUCUCCAUCACUCAUGGUUUGGUAUUGGUUUACUGCCUUUAGGAUCAUUUGUAAUCAUUUUCUAUCCCAUUUUUGUGUUUAUCAGCCCAUUUGUGUUGACAAUGACCACAGAAGCAGCUGUGCGUGUCGUGAGAAACUACUUGAUAAGGAUCUGUUUGGUGACAAAGGCCUGGCCUACAGACUAAAUCCUUUUUUCCUCCUUUUACUCUGCGGUUGCUACCAGUGGAAAUAUGUUGGUGAGACAGAAGAGAUUCUGGCAGAGACUUUCUGCCUGUAAGAGUAGAUGUUUAACCACCUGGAUGUUCCUGCGCCGACCACUUUAAUCACAUCUGAGUGGUUCUGGCAGCAAACAGCUCUUGAGUGCUGAAACUAUUUUUCCUGUCAAUGGAAACCCGCAUUUCUGCUGGAAAUCUUGUGGUGGCUCUUAAGCCGGGUUUGAUGACAGGUGGCACUAGAACGAAUCGCCUCAUUUCUGGCAAAAUGUGUUCCAGCGGGGAAUCCGGAGAGGAAGGCGGCAGCAAAACACAGCAGGAGAUGUACAGGAAUUCAGCACCAACAGAGGUGCUGGUGGUGCCUUUGAAAACUCUGAGUUGCUUGUUUGUGAAGCCGGGGAGCUGAUUUGGUGACUCCGUGUGGCUCUGCCCGCUGGGGUGUGUGUCUGAGCCGGGAGCGGCAGAGCUGUGUCUGCAGCCGUGUGGGUUUACAGGAGUCUGCUGAGCAGGCUCUUGGCUCUGUGCUGGAUUUGGUUGUUCCCGGUCGGUCUCUCGGUGCCGUUUCUCUGCCGAGCGGCAGCAGAAGAGCUGCCGAGCAGAUGUGCAGGCAGCGUCCUGCCGGCUGCAGCGCCGCGCCUGGGGUGGCACGGAAAAUCAGGCUUUGUCUUCUAAUGAUUGUUAAAACAUGUUUUUAUGACAACGCAGCUCUCCAGCUCAGAUUUAGAACCAGCUUUAAACGUUUCCAAGUAACUUACUCAGUAACUUUUCAUGUGAUUAAUUAUGGCUGAUUUUUGGUUUUCUCGAAGCAGCUCAGCCUCACUUGGUUACACCAAACUCUUGCCCAGAUAGAAACAAUAAAUAGUUUGAGCGCUUCCGAACCACUUCAAAUCGAUGUUCACACGUCAGGCUUUUGAGAGCUUCAGAAUGAAACAAAUACAAAAGUUGUGUAAAAAUGAGGCAGAACAAAACGUGCACAAAACGUGUGUCUGAUGCCUGAAAAAGCUCCAUUUUGUUCCUGUGUGGUUAUUUAGAAGAGGUUUCCCUGCGCUGCACCGGCACUUGUCCUGUCGGGAGGUUGCUCUGUAGGGAAACUUGGUGGUUCCCAAAAUACAACUGCUGAGAGCUUUUUAAUCAGUGCAUUAUUGCAGCUGGUGCUGCAGACACAACUGCUGGGCUACUGAGGAGAAUACGCUGUUCCCAAUUAGUAGUUUUUGCCUUUAAAAGGGCAAAAACUAGAGAUCUAGGCAGUGUAAAAGCAGUAAUUAAACUUUAAAACUUGUUGGAUUAAACCUGAGCUGCUAUUUACUAUUUAAAUUGACUUUUUUCCUUAGCUCCUGAAAGAAAGUUGCAUACAAGGAAUGUGAUAAAUGCAGGAUGCACAUAAUUCUGUCGAACAUGCUGGAGAAAUGCACUGGAAAACAGCAAUUCCUCAGGCUGGCUGUGGCCACUGCUGAAGGUACCAAAAGAGAUAAAGUUUUCAGCCAAGUGCGGGGUCGUUGUUUUAACGUGCAAAUAGUUCCUUAAGGGGUAGAAUCCAUUUCCACUUUUGCUGGUGUAGGAUGGAUCUGUAUGGUGCCUUGUGGAAAAGGCCCAUAGGAUUUCUCUCAUGAUGUUUACUGCCAGCCUCUACCUAGUUAGGUGCUGUAAAUCCCGUCGCACCCCGCAAAAAAACCAUUCAACUCCUGAAGUUUGAAUCUCAGUUCUGAUGCUGAUGGCAGCCGUGGGACCGCAGUGCUCCCUGCAGCAGGCUGUUCGCUCUGGUUUAGCGUCAGAUCCACACUACAGAAUAAAGUAGAAAAGUGGUUUUCAGCUCAGGGUCAGAAACAGCUCUUGGUGGAUCUCACACUGCCAGUGGAGCCUGAGGUGUAGAAGCACCUGUAUUUAGAGAAUAAUGACUUUAUUCCCUUAAUGUAAUGUAUCCCAGGAGGCGGAUGUGACUGCCAAGGUCAUUUUGAUGAGACCAUGGAAGCAGGAACUGGGAGCACCAGACACCGUCUGUAACUCUAGCAAUAGUCGCCAGGUGGUAGUGGAUGUGACACGGGUCAGACUGGCUGGGAGCAGCUCUGUAAGUGUUCAACACAACCCUGGGUUUGUCACCUGGACUUGAGGCGCAGAAAUGUGAGAGUUCAGCCUGGGUACAGUGUGUCCUACCUUGCCUUGGCCCCUUCUUUCUUUCUAUUUCAGCGUUUUACAAACGGUUUUCACGUUCUUCACGUGAGUGAGGACUUUCUCUGCUAUAAGCAACUUUUCCAAGUGAAUGUCAUCACGUGAAAGAAAAAACGUUCUUGCUGGGUUUUACCGUGGUACCUGCUACUGUUUCAUCCCUGUACUCCUAGAUUAGUGCUCCAAAAUAACGGAUCACAACCAAGCACCUCCUCACCUCUCCCCAUUCUCUCCCAUUUACAUUCAGGUACGCUGUACUCUUAAAAAAAGAGAAAACAUCAUAUUGAUGUUUCUAUGAGUAGUAUUUGUUGUAAGUCCCCUCCUUGGCCCCCGAGUCCUGUCCAAGGAAUUAGGACUCUGCAAGCCUCACUGCACUGCAAUUUUGUCUCUUGCUGAAUUGGCACAGGAUGUUUUUGGAGUAGAAUAAGAUUGUUUUCCUUUAAACGGGAAGCAAUAGUGUAUGUUUUUAAUAGCUGUACCUAGUGCAGGUAGUGACCUGUCACUGACAAGAGCGGGGAAGCUUCCUCAGAGCAAUGAAUGUUUCCUUCCUGGAACAAACCAGCCAUGUGUUCAGCAGAAUCAGUACUAGCCGUAGUUUUUGAGUUGUGUAUGCUGGUGUGGACUGAAAGCACAACUUGGUAUUGGCUACCAAAUCUGCUGCAUAAAGUCUGUAACGUAAUAUGAAUGUAAAGUGUCAAGGGAAAGAAAAAAUAACCUUUUCUUCCCCCAAGUUGGACACAAAGAGCAACGUGCUCAGGGGCUUUCAGGACCCGCCGCCUCCCACGCAGUCGCUUCGCCAGCGGAGCAGAUUUGCUGUUUGCCUGGCUGGCUCACCCACAGAUGUGCUGAAUUAGGCUAAGGAGGUGCUGCUGACCUUGUUUAUUAAGCCAGAAUUAAUUAACUCAAAGGGUCACUUUCAUUUCGGUGCCUCCUCCGGUACAAAUUUUUGAAAUUGACCCAUGGUACUUGAAAAUACCUUCAUUUUAUGGAUAUUUUUCCAAUUCUGUCAGCUUCUGUUUUGUUACAAGGCACUUGCACAAAUAAAGUCGCCCUGAAAUGAUGGGUUAAGGGGUUUGUGUGGCCGAGCACGCUGCUCGCUCACAGAACGGGCUGUUGAACCCCUUGGCUGUGCCAGUACCUUGUGCUUGACACUUAUUUCCUUCCCUGGUGAUUAACGUUGAGAUUACACCCGCUGUUAUGCAGUUUUAUUCUUUCUUCCAUCUCCCUUUGAGAGAGUCUUUCCUCUUCCUCCUGAAUAGCCAGUUACAAUAUUACCAGCUUUUCAGCUUUUUUGGGUACUGCGAAGGUGAGCAGGUGUCAUUUCAAGCAAUUGUGCCACGUAUUUUGUUUGUGACUGAUCUUAAUGUUUGUCAGGUAUCAGUUUGUAGAUCUCAUUAUUCAGGCCGAGCCUGCUUUGCUCGGAGCAGUGGGAUCCAACUUCCUGCGUUGCUUUUCUCUUUUUCCUAAAAAUCAUAUUUCUUCAUUUUCUAGCUUCAAUUUGGAAUGUCAACCUUCUGAAAUAAAACGUAAGUUUACAUUUCAGACGUCAGCCUGUAAGUGGGUUAUGCUUUCAUGGUGCUUGAAAUAUUUUUGUCUUCUUUAUGAGGUUUUAAGAUUUACGGCAGCAUUUGUAAAACUUUAGUGCAUAAUAACCACUGUUUAAAAGAGAGUUUUGUUAAGGAGAAAAAAAACCCUGACCAAAAAAAACAAAAACCAAACCAAAAAGGACCAAGAGAUCAGCAUCUGGUGUCCUGAUGGCACAGUGAACCACUGGGGCUGGUACUUUUGCCAGCCACGUAUCAAAUAGAAAAGGUCACAUUCUGUUAUCAAUUAUCUGGUUUUCAUCUGAAAGCGACUCCUUAUUGUUGUGACAAUAAAAAUUAAAUCUCAGGAGCAGGUAAGCACAGACCUGUCUGUAUAUAUGGGAAUUCAGCUUUUGGUUUUUGCCUGUUUCAGUCAAGUGAGCGGGUUUCACUCGCUGCUGUUACCAUUAAGCAGCAAACCUUGCGCUGAGCGGAACAUGAACUGCAGGAGCCGUUCUGGGGUCAGAAAGCUCCGUUUGGGAACCGAUGUUCUAUUUACUACCUCUUAGCCUGGGCCAGAGCCCCCUUCGCUGUCAGCCACCAUAGUGCGACGCCUGUGUCGUACCCAGGGAGAGCGGCGUAGGGAACUCUGCCAAAAACUGCUGAAUCGUUAGAAUUAGAAACAUAAAUGUCAUUGUAUUGAUUUGAUUUUUUUUUUACAUUCAGCUGCUUUUUAGAUCACCAGCGUGGGCUGGUGUUGGUAUUUAUAAGUAUCUUGUGUAAAAUCACCACUGUUCUCUUCAGCUGAGGACCCGCCGCUCGGAGCUGUGUUGCUUAAUACCGAUUUCUCACCCCUUAAUUUAAUAGGAAGCAAAUGUUUUCUCAUGAAUGUCACCAUCUGCUGACAACAUGUGGGAUGUUUGGUCAGGUUCAGGAGUUUAAUGCUGCUGCCGGCAUUGCGACUUUUGAUAUCAAAUGGGUUUUUACAAAAGCUUUGGAUACUCAUUUUUACUGUCCGCCAAACAUUCUGACUUUUCCGAUGAAUGCUUUGUGUAUGUUCCACUGGCAUUUUCCAAGUGUUUGUAUGGUUUCUACAGCUGAAUAUCCUGAAGUUUCUGCUUUGUCGUUUUGUAUUAUGGUUUAUACUAGAAAGCCUGCACAGUGUAUACUGCACUGCAGGCCAGGACUGCAUUAAAACCAUUUUGGGCUCAUGUGUCA